GACGAACGCUGGCGGCGUGCUUAACACAUGCAAGUCGAACGGUAAGGCCCUUCGGGGUACACGAGUGGCGAACGGGUGAGUAACACGUGGGUGAUCUGCCCUGCACUUCGGGAUAAGCCUGGGAAACUGGGUCUAAUACCGGAUAGGACCACUGCCUACAUGGGUGGUGGUGGAAAGCUUUUGCGGUGUGGGAUGGGCCCGCGGCCUAUCAGCUUGUUGGUGGGGUGAUGGCCUACCAAGGCGACGACGGGUAGCCGGCCUGAGAGGGUGACCGGCCACACUGGGGCUGAGAUACGGCCCAGACUCCUACGGGAGGCAGCAGUGGGGAAUAUUUCACAAUGGGCGCAAGCCUGAUGCAGCGACGCCGCGUGAGGGAUGACGGCCUUCGGGUUGUAAACCUCUUUCAGCACCGACGAAGCGCAAGUGACGGUAGGUGCAGAAGAAGGACCGGCCAACUACGUGCCAGCAGCCGCCGUAA
rnacentral:rRNA from 1 species